UCUAUGCGUGUUUGUGCUAGAGUCCGCAUGCCUUUUGUUUUCCCUUGUUUUGGUUCAUUGACUGCGCGGUUUCGAAUUUCUGUGAAAUAUUCACCCCCGUCCUCCGUCAACUGUCCCCCGGCAACUCCCUCGGCUGAACCAACUAUCGAGUCUUUGAUGCAUCUCCAUUUCAAGUUUAUCGAUUUGCCCGCCUGCGAGAGCGAAAGAGUUCAGCAAGUGCAUUGAAAAUCCAACGGAGAAACCCGAUAUCUUCCAUUUGGAGUCGGAUCCCUUGCGGAGUAAAUGCAUCAUCCAUUAAACUAAAUGAAGAUUAUCGAUUGUUAUAGAAGCUAUAUAAUAAGUCCAUAUCCAUAUGCAAUCCAUAUCCAUAUUUAACACUAAGGAAACUUGGAUUCUGUGAAAAGUGUUCAAAGGAAUUGUCCGCCCAAGAUCUGCAAUAGAAACACUACCCUAUACAUAUUUACUUUAUAUAAUCACCUAUCGUCAUGCAUUAUAAUACCCUCCAUGAGUCAAACCAACCCAUUAAACAAGCGGCUUGAGCUUUAGCGUCGGCUCCGACUCCACGAAAGUGCGAAAAUUAUUUGUGAUGAAUAAUACAACUUCAUCAGCGGGCUUCGGUCUGAGGUUUCCCCCGAAACGUUGGCUGAACUGCCCCCAAAAGCAUUUGCUGUGCCAGCCUCCAGUUUCCUUCAAGCGUGCAUAAGUGAAAUGUGCUCAAGAUACAGAUACCGAAACAGAUACAGAUACAAAUUCAGAUACAGAUACAGAUACAGAUACAUUGAAGUCAGCAACAACCGGCAAACGGCAACCGGCAAGCGGCAACAACGAGCAGCACCCAAAAGGUAAUUAAUCAUCGUCAUGGGGCGUGUGCACGAUUCGCUUAACGUGCGCCGCUGGCGGUGGCUUCAGCGUGGAGCUGGCCGAGGAGCAGGCGGAGGAGGAGGAGACGCAGGCGGAGUUGGGUGCGGUGCGGGGGGCGCUUGCGAGCAACUGCCGCUGCUUGCAGACAUUUGUGGCAUAUUACCCAAGGCGUACAAAUGUAUAUAUAUUUCCAUAUUUCCAUAUGGUCGCCGCCGACGCCCGACACCCGAGCGACAUGUCGCUGCUUGUCUUGGCGGGCACGGGGGGCUGGGGCGUGGCAAUAGUCAUAACGAGCCAAAUUAAUGCGUUUCUUUCUACAUGGAGCAGAAUUCCCGUGCAGCUAGUGACACAUUUGCUGAUUUAGCAGGAGACGCAGCACAGGCAGGCGACCCGAACGGGACUCAUAGGUGUGUAAUACCCUGUAAUUGUGCUGUCAAAGCAUAUUUGCAUAACACAUUGGGGCUAAGCUCUUCAUUCUGGCGGAGAUUUUCAACCGUUGACUAUUUAUGUAGCAAGAGUUUCAUGCCGUUUGCAGCACAGGGUAUGCCCAAGUCGAGCACUUGACGCUGUUGCAUGUCCAUUAUGUUUUAUUAUCUGUGCGCCAAAAUGUUUCAAAUACUUUUGUCUCGCCCACCGACAUUUGUUUCUGGCCAAGCAAAUUCAAUUUUAAUUGAUUGUGCGGCUGAUUUUAACGAUUGCGCGUGCCAUUUGAGUUGGCCAACGGGGCGUGGCAUUUAGUGGUGGGAGCUUAACGUGUGUUAUGCAUGAGUAUUGCCGGCUAAUUGGAUGCUCAGCUAAUUAGUUGUCGAGCUGGUUGGUCUGGGCCAAGCCAAGGUAGCAGGCCCCUCAUAUUUUUAAAUAUAUAAAACCUUAUGCUAAUCUAAUCGGAUACCAAUUGAACAGUCGCUGUUAAAAGUAACGCCAAGCGUAGAGGUGGCUGUGACAGCGACAGCUGCAGCAGCGUCGACGGCGUCAAUUCUCACCCGCGCAAAAACUGACAAACGCCGACAAUAAAAACACGUGCUUAUCAGGCAAACACACUUACACGCACACACACACACACACACAGCCACCAAACAGACAACAACAGAGAGUUUGUUUGAAAUAAACAAAAAUCAGCUGUUCGCAGUGCUCGCUCUCUCUCACGCUCUCUUGCUUCCAAUUCCAGUGAGCGAAGAAGCUGAGAAACGAGUUUUGUUGUCUGCCGGCAUGUGAAGAGAGUUGCUAUAAAAAGAGGGCAGAAUUUAUAGCAAGUUCAAAUAUUCACUCUGGCGGGUAUUAUUGGCUAUUCAUAAAAUUCCAGAAAAUGUAAAUAAA